UGCAACAACACAUGGCAAUAGAAGUUGCAGCACUCCUUCAUUAAGAGAGACAACCACUAAUGUACAAAUUCUGUCCAUCUGCUCAUAGGUUGGGGAGGCUGAAAAAUGCUGGUAUAGCAGAGUCCUACAAUCCUUGAGGGAUGCAAACUGGGGACGUAUGUAGAGUGAGUCCCUGAGAAAUAUCCGUUUCAAAUAGCUUCGUAUAACGUACAGAACAGAACAUCCUCACCUGUGGUGAAUUAGCAGCACAUCCCUUGAGUGCUUUGGCCAUACCACUUCUCUGGCCAUAUCUGCCCACUUUGGGGGCUGUAUUGGCCAGUGGCUCCUGGCCUCCUGUUGGAGCAGCAAUGGCCACAGCAGAAGCGGGAUCAGUACACUCAGGAAGAAAUUUUUUUAGUCUCAUGGGACUCCUCUAAACUAGUCCAGCUGCAACUAUGAAGGCAGACAACAUAUGGCAUGAACAGAAUCCUGUUCUUUAUUUUGUGUCUGAGUUUAAAAUAUCCAGAUAUACAGGCAAUAAUUUCCCUAUGCUUAGACAAGAUAAGUGGAUCUUCUUCUGUGUAUCUCAUUUCCCUGACUUCUUUCUUCCUUCUCUCCCAGUCAAAUAUAGUUUAAUAGACUUAUCAAUGAUCUUGUCAUGUAGAGUUCGUGUUGCACAUGGAAUAUCUUGCUACAGUGAUUCUUCCUGUAUGUGAGGCAAAGAGACUUCCUUAAGUAUGAACUGUGGUUUGGGAGAAGGUAUUAUAGGCAUAACCUUAAAUGUUCCUAUGAUUAACAUACCUGAAUUGCUGUAGGCUUUGCUUUCUUGUUUGUUGUCAAUUUCUCUAUUGUAGGGGUGCUGAAUAUUCUGAAUGAAGUAAAGAUAAAAGCUGCCUUCUGGUGCCACUGAUUUAUUUUGAAAGGAACUUUAGCUCUUCCUACUGUCAUAAAAAGAUGUCCUUGC